rnacentral:lncRNA from 1 species
UAGCUCAGCAAUGACUGCCACAACAUAAGCUAAUUUUUACCUUCCAGUUUCUAACUGCAAAACAAAGCAUCAUUAAAUGCAAGAUACCCGGAUAAGGAAACACAUGUGCUCUGACAGUUGCCUUUCACUACUUGAGAGAGUGCUGCUUCCGAAUACAUGUUGAGUGUCUCAUCUGGCAUGAUUGUGAAACAGGGCUGAACCAAGACUUUCUCCCACAAGAGGUAAAAGACAAGAUGUUGUCCCUUUCAUUCCAUGUACUGUACAGGUAGCUGAGUCCUCCCUCAACACUGGCAAUUGGACAGGGUGUCUGCUAAACUAAAAGCAACAGGCCAGGUUAGAGGGACAGGACCGACUGUGUGGUACCCAGCACUACCCUCCGAGAGAGGGAAAAGGCCAAAAGUCUCAGGAGAAACAUCAGCCUGAGGAGUUUGUGUCACUGUAUAAAUGGUAGGAUCGAGCCAGCCCAGAUGUAGACAAAAUUUUACUCAGUCGAAUAGAACAAGGUGCUAAUCAUUACCACAUUAUUUUAAAAUGAGAUUAUGUGAUCCAAAACUAAUAAAUACCUUUCUCUUCAGCAGCUGUGUUUCUUCUUUCAAGCUGAGAUUUUCCAGUUGAACUGCCUCAUGUUGCUCUCGGCACAACUUUUCCUGAGCUUUGGCCUCUGCUCGGCCCUUUUCGGCCUCUGCUUGGGCCAGAGAAGCCUCCUCAGCAAGUCUGGAGUACUUUGCCGCUGCCUGCUGAGAGGUGCUCAGCUUCUGCUUGAGCUACAAGAGGGACAGGAGCAACUGUGUCAGAAAGCCCUGAGGUGCCUGCAAUCUAAAUACCGGUAUUCAACAGAAGCAAAACAGAGUUAAACAGUAAGGCAAGGGGGUGUGCCCAAAAGGAGUUCAUGUAUAUAGAUUAAAUCAACUAUUAACACUUUGGCUUUUGAGUUGUUUUGGAAGAGUUAACUUUUUCCUGUUGGAGUGCAUAGCAAAGAUGCAGAACAUAUGACGUCCUUGUGCUUCAUCUUCAGAUUGCCAACACAGCAACGUAAUAGUCUGCGGGGUGUAAUCUGGGUUAAAAUGUCAGGUUUAUCUACCACAAUAAAAUGGAGUAACCAGGGUGAUUUUCCCA